CAGAUGUAGGGUAUGGAGAGGAGAGAGUGCCUUGCAGACUGCAGGGAUCCCUUUCUGGGCUGACCUUGGGUGAGGAGCAGUGAUGGGAGAAGGAGGGAAAGGAUUUGUUCCAGCUCUGUGCUUGCACAUCUUAGAAAAUAUAUUGUGUGAGGUGGCCAGAGAUUUUUCCAAGGGUGUUUAAAGGGACAGCCUGAUCAGAUUUGAGGAAAAUCCACAGGAGUGAAGUUGGAACCAAUUAAUUGCAUCUGAUUUUACUAUAUAUGUAACACCCAGCAGUGUAACUCCAGUAGUUUUGUGAGCUUUGAUGGAAGGUUUGUGCCUUUACGUGAAGCUCAUAUCCGAAUUAAAAACUUUUCCAAUUGCACACUAUGAAAAGGCUCCUAAGGGGAUGGGGAGCAAUUCCAUCUCGAUGGUGGUUGCAAGCAGCUAUCUAUUUUAAGUAUGGAAAGAAAGGAAAAAAAAAAAGAAAAAAAAAAAGAAGAAGUAAGUCUUAAGAAUUCUUCUGCAUCACCUAAGAGACAGGAAGCUAUUUUCUAAUUCUCGUUCUGUAUUCCCCCCUUCAUAAGUAUGUUUAAGAACAAUACCUUCUGUAACAAAAAUACAGUGGAAAAACAGUUACUUUGUUACUAGGAGUUAAAAGGUCAUUUCCCCUUGAUGAAAAGCUUGUUCUAUCAGAUAAGUAGCUGCUACACUCCAUAACACUGGCAACCCUUCAAAAGGUUUCAGAAAUUAAAGGCAUUGUUUGAAGAUAAAGGUGAUAAGGUCAUUUGCCUUGUGUUUAGUCCUGCAAACCUUUCUGGGUAACCCUCUGAUAUUCAAAUGAAGAGUGCUUUAAAUAGUGUUAUCUUCAUAUAGCUAAUGAGUGCUGGCUGACAAUCACCUCUAAAACUAGCUGAAACUCUACUGGAAUUAAAUGUUGUAAAAUAUUGCAACAUAUUUUCAUUAAGAGGGAGUGCCUCCACAGAGUUUGCUGAGGCUAUAUCCGUAAUCACUGAUAGGACUACACUUUGGUCCUAUGGCUUUUCUUGGGUUUUGUUUGUUUUUUUGUUUGUUUGUUUGUUUUAACUCUGUUUUUACUAGUUGCAUAGCGUCUAACAUGAUUUUCAAUAUAUCGCUGCAGUGGAUUAAUAAAGCUGCAUAAAGAAACUAUAUAUGUAAAAUCUAUGUCCUCUACGGACCCUAUGCUGGAAUGAAACAAGCUUUACAAUUAAUGUAUACAGUAGGAGAAAAAUUACUCGUGAACUUUUUACUGCCAGAGACUAUAUAGCUGUGUAUUAUUAUAUGUGUAAUUAACUAAUCUAUAAUAGUGCUCUGAUGUACAGUGUGUAUACUUCUUUCCUUAGAGGAAUAGAUCCUGAUUUUAAAGCUUUUUCUUCUUUUAUGAUUCAUUUCAUAUAUUCCAUUUAUGGGAAAACAUUAUGAUUCUUCUUUAAAUCUCCUGAAAUUUUCUAGUAAGAAGUAGGAAUCUUCAGAGGUUUGCAAUUUCUCUGUUUAAGAUAAUAAUAAUAAUAACAACAACAACGACAAUAACAAUAAA